UACGGGGGGGGGCAAGCGUUGUUCGGAAUUACUGGGCGUAAAGGGCUCGUAGGUGGCCAACUAAGUCAGACGUGAAAUCCCUCGGCUUAACCGGGGAACUGCGUCUGAUACUGGAUGGCUUGAGUUUGGGAGAGGGAUGCGGAAUUCCAGGUGUAGCGGUGAAAUGCGUAGAUAUCUGGAGGAACACCGGUGGCGAAGGCGGCAUCCUGGACCGGUAUUGACGCUGAGGCGCGAAAGCCAGGGGAGCAAAGCGGG
rnacentral:rRNA from 1 species